UACGGGGGGAGCAAGCGUUGUUCGGAUUUACUGGGCGUAAAGGGCGCGUAGGCGGCCAGCACAAGUCAGUUGUGAAAGCUCUGGGCUUAACCCAGAAAGGUCAGCUGAUACUGCGGGGCUAGAGCGCAGAAGGGGCAACUGGAAUUCUCGGUGUAGCGGUGAAAUGCGUAGAUAUCGAGAGGAACACCUGCGGCGAAGGCGGGUUGCUGGGGCUGACACUGACGCUGACAGCGCGAAAGCUAGGGGAGCGAACGGG
rnacentral:rRNA from 1 species